UUCACUCUCACUAUUUUACCGGUGACACUUCCUCAGACACCGGAGGAGAUAUCAUGUAGAAUAUUAAUAUUCAAACGGUCUACCUACCACAGUAAGGCAGCCUUCUGUUAUGGAAAGAUAAAUAUUAUGUUUUAAUUAUAAAAACAGAAAACAGAAAUGGGGAGAACGAGGAAGAAAAUGUGUGACGUGCCAAGGAGGCUUGUUCAGGAGAAAGCACAUCUCUUUGCUCCAGCUCCAUAACCAAGUGGGGAAUCCUAACGUGAUCAUUAAGACAUGAAACAGCCUGAUAAAUGUUUCAUAAGGACUGCCCGGUGAUAACCACCCAGGAAUACGAUACCUGUUUGCUUCGCCAUACUCGCUCCAGCCCUUUGAAGAAGCCAACCAGACCGAUGGCUCUCCUCCAUCUAACACCGGGGUGGGGAUUCACAGGCCAGCUCUACCAAGCCUUCAAACCACUGGGCUUUUAAAUCACACGUUCAAUGCCAUCUACUGUAUGACACAAAUGCCCUAAGUUGUUUCUCCUUUCACUUCUAUGUCUAUUUUUGGUCACGUUCUUGGUCGCCACUUCAUAUCUGAACAUAGGCCGGUAGUCUUGCCUCUCGGGCUAGAAAGAUGACGAGAGACGGAUAGAAUGUAACUCUUCGUAUGACAGCCAAGGUGGGAUCGAAUAGCGAUCUUAUACCAGAGUUGGUUUCCACGGAGACAAACGCAGACAGAUGUAGAGUGGUUUCGGAUAGCUACCGUUUUGACACUCGCCAAGCUUUUCUAACAAUUUGGGCCUGAACACUUCUAGUUAUUUUUGCUUUAAUUACACAGCAAUUACAAUGUAACAGUAAGUCUGCAUGUGUAAUUACCCCCCAUUGUAAUUACGUAAUUAGAUGAAUAUCCGUGCUUUAUAACCUAAGGCGUCAGUCGGCAAAUCCAAUUUCAAUUUGAAUGGCGCAAGCGUUUUGCCUCCAUGUUUGAGAGCCGUAAAGACCUAGGGAUAUACGGCUAAUCCUUGCCAUGUUAAAACGCUGUUCCUCUUAAAAACAUUUAGACAUGGGGGAUUCUCCAGAGGAAAAGGAGGAGUAGGUUCGUAGCCGGAGCGGAGAGGUGGGAGUGAGGGGUGGAGUGGAGGUGCUCCUGCCCGAGGCCUUGAGAAAAGCCCCUCUCUCUCUCUACAGUCUGAUGCGACCAGGUUCUGAGUAGCUGCAUGAUCAUACUGUACGUUCCGUUCUCAGCAGCAUGUCGUUGUCAUCAACUGGUUGCCAU